rnacentral:ncRNA from 1 species
UCUUAUCCCGAGCUGGCGGAGGGACAGGCCCAAUGAAGCCCAGCAACCGGUUUCUCUUCAUCAUAAAAGAUGUAACACAGUAUUGAGACAACUACGGUGCUAACCUGAUGCAAGGUUUUAAAAUACCUUGAGCGAUAAGA